AACGAACGCUGGCGGCAUGCCUAACACAUGCAAGUCGAACGAGACCUUCGGGUCUAGUGGCGCACGGGUGCGUAACGCGUGGGAAUCUACCCUUGGGUUCGGAAUAACAGUUAGAAAUGACUGCUAAUACCGGAUGAUGACGUAAGUCCAAAGAUUUAUCGCCCAAGGAUGAGCCCGCGUAAGAUUAGCUUGUUGGUGGGGUAAUGGCCUACCAAGGCGACGAUCUUUAGCCGGUCUGAGAGGAUGAUCAGCCACACUGGGACUGAGACACGGCCCAGACUCCUACGGGAGGCAGCGGUGGGGAAUAUCGGACAAUGGGCGAAAGCCUGAUCCAGCAAUGCCGCGUGAGUGAUGAAGGCCUUAGGGUUGUAAAGCUCUUUUACCUGGGAUGAUAAUGACAGUACCUGGAGAAUAAGCUCCGGCUAACUCCGUGCCAGCAGCCGCAGUAA
rnacentral:rRNA from 1 species